ACCAAACGACGUGAAUAAACUCCGUCAGCGUAUAACCUAUCUUAGAAAUGUGAAGAAAAAUAAGAAAAACCUUAUACAUUUAGUAGACCAAAGUGAUUCAGAGUAUGAGUUGCUACCUCUGACUUGGACCGUUCCAAACUCAGACGGUCACGUGAUACAAAGGGGAAAAAAGAAAAAAAAAACCUUGGCAACGUCAGGCGUGUAGGCUGCGUCCAAAACGCGCAUACUAGCGUACUAAGUAUGUAGAAUAGCCCGCGUGGUUAAGCCCAGCCUCAAAAUUCUCAGAACUAAUUUACUAUUCUGUUCCAUUCGCUGCGUGUUAAAACCUCCCCAGUGCUCCUACACACACUACAGUGCACAGGGAGCUCCUUCACCAGGACCGAGCUGCUGCUUUAUGUCGCUCUCACUAUACUUACUUUCCGGAACAUUAGACAGUAUAGAUUUUUAAAAAAAAAACUGCACUUUUAAUUUAAUUUUUUUGUUUUAUUUUUUUUCUCACAUCUUGGAUUUAAUGAUACUCGAUCCGUGUGGUGUCUCUGCCUGCUUUUGUCCUUUUGUCCGAGUUGUAUGUGUCAGAAACGUGCAUGUUGAUGGUGGAAGCGAUGUUAAGUGGCUGCAUGGACAUGUUGAAGAAACACAGGUCAAUAAUUACAGGUGGGACUCCAUGCUGUGCAGGAGAAAGUGGCCUAACUGUCCAAACUAAACACACUGUCCUGUGGGGUAAAUGGCAAUCGUGUUUUAUUGGUAACACUGCUAAAGCAGUUACACUACAGACAGAUUCAGUUCACAUAGGGGUCCUAAAUAAUAAUAAUAAUAAUAAUAAUAAUAAUAAUAAUAAUAAUAAUAUUGUGUAAUAAUGUUGUUAAUAUGGUAUUAAAUGUACACAACUCGUACAUUUUAACUGAGAUGGAUGAGAUUAGUGUUCCUUGAGCUAAUUAUUGUUUUUCAAGAAAAGAUUUAGUUUGUUAUUGUCGGCCACAUUCUACAUGCAUCACUGUCACUGAACUGGAAUGAUACCAUGAAUGUUAAGGAACAAAAUGUUCUAGAUAAACCUGGCUCAGCCUUUAACCCACAAUAGAGCGUGUUUAGCUCGGCAACCAAGUUGGGUGAGAUUCUGCCACACAACAGCAAGUUCACCUGCUCUAUUUGUUUUUUUGUAUCAGAAAUGUCUUACCUAUGCAGGCAAAUUUAAAUCUAUUGCCUAAUGAAUGUAUUAGAUCUAAGCUGACUGCAAGUUUGAUUAGAAUAUUUAGCUCUUUUUAGUUUGAAGAGUCUGUGGGAAAAGAGCACACCAUUCACCCACAUGCUUUCACAGCACAGCCAGCGUGUGCUGUUUGGGCAGGUUUGCAUAUUUUUCAACCUGAGACCUGUUGCUGACAUGGCAGAGCAGCGCCGCCUGAUACGAACAGUGUCAUUAUUGCCUGUAGGUUUGCACAUGUUUGUGUAUGCAUGUACCUUGUAGUGCUACAGGUCACAUUCAUGUAAUGUUCAGUCUGUGAAUAAUUUACAAAACAGUCUUUUUACAUUUGCAGUACUGAAUAGGACCUUGACCACUGACGGCUUAUUUCCCCAAAUGUCCCAAACUGCAGUGUGUUUAUGUACUUCUGUGUUUUGUACUUGUUUGCAUAGCAUCGAAUGUAAAUUUUUUUAUUAUCGUUCUGCAAAUAUAACUUGUCCAAAUCCAAUAAAAAAAUGUUUGUCAGUAA